ACCUGGGAGAAGAGAGGGACAACACGGAUGAAUCCCGUGGGAUAGCAAAAAGACUGGAGGAACCGGAGCAGGGCGGUCGCUUCCAGGCGGGAAUGGAGCCGGAGCGGGGGUGGAUUAAUUAGGGCGCUAAUUGGGGUGAUUUUCCGGCAGGAACAGCCGCUCCUUUGGAGAGAGGGAGAGGGAACGCGCGGAUCCAGGAUCCAACAAAACCCCUGGCACAGCCGUGGGAUCGUUGCCGGGAGCUGAAGGGCCCCACAGCCCCCGGAGCCACUUCCAAGGGCUCCCGGGAAAGUGGGAUCCAAUUUCCUCAUCCCGCUCUCCCAAGGCCUCUUCCCUCUCCUGCCGCCUCCGGGAGACCCCGCGGAGGGUGCAGGAUCCUGCGGUUCCCGGGAUUCUGGGGAAGCAGAAGGUGACAAGAACUCCUUCCUGAUAAUUAAUUAUCAGGAAUAUUAUUAAGAAUUAACAAUUCUCGAGGACUGAUGAGCAGGUUUCGAGCAGAGGAAGGAAGGAGAGGAGCUCUGAUCCCGCCUGCCUGGAUGGGAAUCCACGGGAAAGCCUUUUGGGAUCGUCCCUCACCACAGAAGGGGCCACGGCAGAACCCAGCCCAGGAAUCCCCCUCCCGACUGACCUGGGUUUUCAUUGGGAUAUUUACACCCCAACAUUAAUUAAAUAAGGAUUUUAAGCCUG